rnacentral:lncRNA from 1 species
AUGUAUUCUUACCAAUGUGUGAUAUUUUUUGCUAAUUUUUUUCCCAACUUGAUGGGUAUGAAAUGACAUCUCAUUGCUGUUUCAGUUUUCAUUAUCUGAUUACUGACAGGGUUAAGCAGUUUUUCAUAGGUUUAUUGGUGAUUCCAGUUUUCUCCUCUGGGGGUUGUUGAUAGGCUUUUGUCAUUUUUCUGUUUUUCUUAAUUGUAUCUAGGAAUUCUUUACACAGAGAUGCCACAAAGUUUAACUUUGGCCUCAGUACUCAGGAAAAGAUAUACUUGGUUUCAGCCUUGGCUUCAGGCUUUGAAAGACAGAGUAACAAAUAGCUACUUCUUUUCUGGCCCCUUCAUCAUCUGCUUGUUCAAUGGAGCUUAGGCCAGAGUCUUUCAAGAAAAAAAGUCUUAUUAGAGAAGUCUUCAUAUCUCGUGAGGAUGAAUUAAAAGCAGAAUCUCAACUUUGCUACCUUUAAAUGUCACGGAGAGAAAAAACUGCAAAACCAUGUGCAACAAUAUCCAUGAUAAAUCAUCUUUGAUCUCAACAUAACGGAGACUAUAAGGAGUAUAAAGACUAGAAGAAAGAGUAGAAGGUGAUCCACAAUCAAUUCAGAACCUGGUCUUCUAUGGUGGCUCACAGUUCCUGCACCCUACAAUAUCGUGCACCUCUCUCUAAAUCUACUGAAACGUGCAGCCUUCUUUUGGAAGAGAAAGAUUCUGAUAUUCAUUAACAAUUAAAUGAAUCUUCAAGAAGCCCAAAUAGUGAUUAUAUUUGAAUAAAUAUUUUAAUGGGAAAAAUAAGGGGGAAGGACUACACUCCUUGCUUCCUUUGGAUUUGAACUUGGCCUGGUGACUUGCCUGAGCCAGUGUGACAGAUGAGAAAGCAGAUGCCACAGACUACUUUGGUGCCUUGUUUUUCCUCCAUCAGACUGGCUCUUAGUAUUUCAGAUGGUGGAAGCUCUGUGAGUCUGGAUUUGAGUAAAGAUGGUGAGAUAUUUGUCCCUAGAACGCAGAUAACUGGAUCAAGGCUACUCUUCCUGGAAACCUCAUGUAUGCCACCUGCCCAACCAUUUCUAUGGACAUAUUAUGAAGACUACAUAGGAGACUUUGAUUUGGACUUUCCUAAAUGGUUGGUUUAGGUUUUCAUCUAAACAUUUGGAUGUUCAUGCAUGUAGAAGCAAAAAUAAGUGGCCUAUUUUAAAUACUGGCCAAAGCCUUUUUUAUAAUUCUUAAAAAAAAAUAAACUCUCAUGACAUUAAAUUUCUUAAAAUCUACACAUAAAAGUAGUGACUGCUCUCUCAUAUAUAAAUAUAAAACUCCCAGCAUGUAAGUGC